UAUAGAUGGAUCCGCGCUGCAUUAGCUAGUUGGUAAGGUAACGGCUUACCAAGGCAACGAUGCAUAGCCGACCUGAGAGGGUGAUCGGCCACACUGGAACUGAGACACGGUCCAGACUCCUACGGGAGGCAGCAGUAGGGAAUCUUCCGCAAUGGGCGAAAGCCUGACGGAGCAACGCCGCGUGAGUGAUGAAGGUCUUCGGAUCGUAAAACUCUGUUAUUAGGGAAGAACAUAUGUGUAAGUAACUGUGCACAUCUUGACGGUACCUAAUCAGAAAGCCACGGCUAACUACGUGCCAGCAGCCGCGGUAAUACGUAGGUGGCAAGCGUUAUCCGGAAUUAUUGGGCGUAAAGCGCGCGUAGGCGGUUUUUUAAGUCUGAUGUGAAA
rnacentral:rRNA from 1 species